GACGAACGCUGGCGGCGUGCUUAACACAUGCAAGUCGAACGGAAAGGCCCUGCUUUUGUGGGGUGCUCGAGUGGCGAACGGGUGAGUAACACGUGAGUAACCUGCCCUUGACUUUGGGAUAACUUCAGGAAACUGGGGCUAAUACCGGAUAGGAGCUCCUGCUGCAUGGUGGGGGUUGGAAAGUUUCGGCGGUAGGGGAUGGACUCGCGGCUUACCAGCUUGUUGGUGGGGUAGUGGCAUACCAAGGCAUUGACGGAUAGGCGGCAUGUGAGGGGAGACAGGGACAAGAGGACUAAGGGACGGACCAGAGGGCAACAGGAGACAGCAGGGGAAAGUAUGACACAAUGAGCGGGAGCGUGAGGAAAAGGCGCCGCGUGCGGGAAGACGGCCUUCGGGGUAUGAACCGCAGUAGGCUGUGACGAAGCGGGAGUGACGGUAAUGAGUGAAGAAGCACCGGCUAACUACGUG
rnacentral:rRNA from 1 species